UCCAUGGCCUCAUCGUCACGUCGAAGUGAUAGCAAACUUCCAGGCAGGAGCAUUUACUGCUUCUCUGCUAAACUGGUUGGGAGUUUUAUGAAUCACUCAUUCCGUUUUGUUUAUUGAGGGAAAUAUGACUGCAGUCAGUGUCAUGUCUUGCACACUUAACACUGCAACCCCAUCUGUGUGAAAGGAGGUCAACAAAAAAGCCCCUCAACUUCAUUGAGCCUUUUCAAAAGUUGUUUCCUUAUUCAGCGAAUGAAGGACAAAAAGCAGUAACUGUUUCAAAGCAAGAUGGCUAUUGAUGUAUUAUCGACAAUCAUUAAUCAGGGUAAAUCUGCAUAGCAUUGAAAAUAUUUGUAUAUUGUUGUUUUUGUGAAAAUGAGACUUGCCACUUAAUGCAUAACAUACCCAGUUAGCAGAUGACCAUGACCCACAUAGGGCAACUAACUGGCACUGCUGGUCCAGGCUUUUUAUCACGGCAUUUCAAUUUUGCCCCGAUUGUGGCUUGUGAUAUGUUUCUGUUUUUUUGUGUGUAUUUUUUUUACUGUAUUUGAUUCCUCUCCAAAUUUCAUAAUGUGCAAUUUGCAUUUACGCCCUUAAUGCCUUGAACCCAUU